UCAUCUUCGGGGGUAGAGCACUGUUUCGACUAGGGGGUCAUCCCGACUUACCAACUCGAUGCAAACUGCGAAUACCGAAGAAUGUUAUCACGGGAGACACACGGCGGGUGCUAACGUCCGUCGUGAAGAGGGAAACAACCCAGACCGCCAGCUAAGGUCCCAAAGUCAUGGUUAAGUGGGAAACGAAGUGGGAAGGCUCAGACAGCCAGGAUGUUGGCUUAGAAGCAGCCAUCAUUUAAAGAAAGCGUAAUAGCUCACUGGUCGAGUCGGCCCGCGCGGAAGAUGUAACGGGGCUAAACCAUGCACCGAAGCUGCGGCAGCGACACAAAGUGUUGUUGGGUAGGGGAGCGUUCUGUAAGCCUGCGAAGGUGUACUGUGAGGUAUGCUGGAGGUAUCAGAAGUGCGAAUGCUGACAUAAGUAACGAUAAUGCGGGUGAAAAACCCGCACGCCGGAAGACCAAGGGUUCCUGUCCAACGUUAAUCGGGGCAGGGUGAGUCGACCCCUAAGGCGAGGCUGAAAAGCGUAGUCGAUGGGAAACGGGUUAAUAUUCCCGUACUGGUGGUAACUGCGAUGGGGGAACGGAGAAGGCUAGGUUGUCCGGGCGACGGUCGUCCCGGUUCAAGCAGGUAGGCAGAGUGAUUAGGCAAAUCCGGUCACUUAAUGCUGAGAUGUGAUGACGAACCAC
rnacentral:rRNA from 1 species